AAAGAACAGAGAUAUUGGCACGGCUCAAUCAAAUCAUAAUAAAAUCAAAUCUGAUUGAACCAGGCCAAUAUCACUGUUACUGUU
rnacentral:pre_miRNA from 1 species